rnacentral:rRNA from 1 species
UCGGCUCGACUCUCCCACCCUUUGUGAACGUACCUCUGUUGCUUUGGCGGCUCCGGCCGCCAAAGGACCUUCAAACUCCAGUCAGUAAACGCAGACGUCUGAUAAACAAGUUAAUAAACUAAAACUUUCAACAACGGAUCUCUUGGUUCUGGCAUCGAUGAAGAACGCAGCGAAAUGCGAUAAGUAAUGUGAAUUGCAGAAUUCAGUGAAUCAUCGAAUCUUUGAACGCACAUUGCGCCCCUUGGUAUUCCGGGGGGCAUGCCUGUUCGAGCGUCAUUACAACCCUCAAGCUCUGCUUGGAAUUGGGCACCGUCCUCACUGCGGACGCGCCUCAAAGACCUCGGCGGUGGCUGUUCAGCCCUCAAGCGUAGUAGAAUACACCUCGCUUUGGAGCGGUUGGCGUCGCCCGCCGGACGAACCUUCUGAACUUUUCUCAAGGUUGACCUCGGAUCAGGUAGGGAUACCCGCUGAACUUAAG